rnacentral:rRNA from 1 species
GUCCACGCCGUAAACGAUGGACACUAGAUGCCGGUUGGAACGACCCCAUCGGUGUCGAAGCUAACGCAUUAAGUGUCCCGCCUGGGGAGUACGGCCGCAAGGCUGAAACUCAAAGGAAUUGACGGGGGCCCGCACAAGCGGUGGAGCAUGUGGUUUAAUUCGAAGCAACGCGAAGAACCUUACCUGGGCUUGACAUGCUGGUGAAAGCUUAUGGAAACAUAGGCCCUCCUUCGGGACUCCAGCACAGGUGCUGCAUGGCUGUCGU